rnacentral:misc_RNA from 1 species
GCGCCGCGACGCCUCGGUG